rnacentral:snRNA from 1 species
AUGCUCGCUUUGGCAGCAUAUGUACUACAACUAGAAUGUUACAAAAAUUAGCAUGGCUUCUGUGCAAGGAUGAAACAUAAAUUCCAAAGCAUUCCAUAUAUUUU